rnacentral:rRNA from 1 species
UUAAGUUAGAAAGGGCGCACGGUGGAUGCCUUGACACUAGGAGUCGAUGAAGGACGGGACUAACGCCGAUAUGCUUCGGGGAGCUGUAAGUAAGCUUUGAUCCGAAGAUUUCCGAAUGGGGAAACCCACCAUACGUAAUGGUAUGGUAUCCUUAUCUGAAUACAUAGGGUAAGGAAGACAGACCCAGGGAACUGAAACAUCUAAGUACCUGGAGGAAGAGAAAGCAAAUGCGAUUUCCUGAGUAGCGGCGAGCGAAACGGAACAUAGCCCAAACCAAGAGGCUUGCCUCUUGGGGUUGUAGGACAUUCUAUACGGAGUUACAAAGGAACGAGGUAGACGAAGCGACCUGGAAAGGUCCGUCGUAGAGGGUAACAACCCCGUAGUCGAAACUUCGUUCUCUCUUGAAUGUAUCCUGAGUACGGCGGAACACGUGAAAUUCCGUCGGAAUCUGGGAGGACCAUCUCCCAAGGCUAAAUACUCCCUAGUGAUCGAUAGUGAACCAGUACCGUGAGGGAAAGGUGAAAAGCACCCCGGAAGGGGAGUGAAAGAGAUCCUGAAACCGUGUGCCUACAAAUAGUCAGAGCCCGUUAACGGGUGAUGGCGUGCCUUUUGUAGAAUGAACCGGCGAGUUACGAUCCCGUGCGAGGUUAAGCUGAAGAGGCGGAGCCGCAGCGAAAGCGAGUCUGAAUAGGGCGUUUAGUACGUGGUCGUAGACCCGAAACCAGGUGAUCUACCCAUGUCCAGGGUGAAGUUCAGGUAACACUGAAUGGAGGCCCGAACCCACGCACGUUGAAAAGUGCGGGGAUGAGGUGUGGGUAGCGGAGAAAUUCCAAUCGAACCUGGAGAUAGCUGGUUCUCCCCGAAAUAGCUUUAGGGCUAGCCUUAAGUGUAAGAGUCUUGGAGGUAGAGCACUGAUUGGACUAGGGGUCCUCAUCGGAUUACCGAAUUCAGUCAAACUCCGAAUGCCAAUGACUUAUCCUUAGGAGUCAGACUGCGAGUGAUAAGAUCCGUAGUCAAAAGGGAAACAGCCCAGACCGCCAGCUAAGGUCCCAAAGUGUGUAUUAAGUGGAAAAGGAUGUGGAGUUGCUUAGACAACUAGGAUGUUGGCUUAGAAGCAGCCACCAUUUAAAGAGUGCGUAAUAGCUCACUAGUCGAGUGACUCUGCGCCGAAAAUGUACCGGGGCUAAAUACACCACCGAAGCUGCGGAUUGAUACCGAAUGGUAUCAGUGGUAGGGGAGCGUUCUAAGGACAGUGAAGUCAGACCGGAAGGACUGGUGGAGUGCUUAGAAGUGAGAAUGCCGGUAUGAGUAGCGAAAGACGGGUGAGAAUCCCGUCCACCGAAUGCCUAAGGUUUCCUGAGGAAGGCUCGUCCGCUCAGGGUUAGUCAGGACCUAAGCCGAGGCCGACAGGCGUAGGCGAUGGACAACAGGUUGAUAUUCCUGUACCACCUCUUUAUCGUUUGAGCAAUGGAGGGACGCAGAAGGAUAGAAGAAGCGUGCGAUUGGUUGUGCACGUCCAAGCAGUUAGGCUGAUAAGUAGGCAAAUCCGCUUAUCAUAAAGGCUGAGCUGUGAUGGGGAAGCUCCUUAUGGAGCGAAGUCUUUGAUUCCCCGCUGCCAAGAAAAGCUUCUAGCGAGAUAAAAGGUGCCUGUACCGCAAACCGACACAGGUAGGCGAGGAGAGAAUCCUAAGGUGUGCGAGAGAACUCUGGUUAAGGAACUCGGCAAAAUGACCCCGUAACUUCGGGAGAAGGGGUGCUUUCUUAACGGAAAGCCGCAGUGAAUAGGCCCAAGCGACUGUUUAGCAAAAACACAGCUCUCUGCGAAGCCGUAAGGCGAAGUAUAGGGGGUGACACCUGCCCGGUGCUGGAAGGUUAAGGAGAGGGGUUAGCGUAAGCGAAGCUCUGAACUGAAGCCCCAGUAAACGGCGGCCGUAACUAUAACGGUCCUAAGGUAGCGAAAUUCCUUGUCGGGUAAGUUCCGACCCGCACGAAAGGUGUAACGAUUUGGGCACUGUCUCAACCAGAGACUCGGUGAAAUUAUAGUACCUGUGAAGAUGCAGGUUACCCGCGACAGGACGGAAAGACCCCGUGGAGCUUUACUGUAGCCUGAUAUUGAAUUUUGGUACAGUUUGUACAGGAUAGGCGGGAGCCAUUGAAACCGGAGCGCUAGCUUCGGUGGAGGCGCUGGUGGGAUACCGCCCUGACUGUAUUGAAAUUCUAACCUACGGGUCUUAUCGACCCGGGAGACAGUGUCAGGUGGGCAGUUUGACUGGGGCGGUCGCCUCCUAAAGUGUAACGGAGGCGCCCAAAGGUUCCCUCAGAAUGGUUGGAAAUCAUUCGUAGAGUGCAAAGGCAUAAGGGAGCUUGACUGCGAGACCUACAAGUCGAGCAGGGACGAAAGUCGGGCUUAGUGAUCCGGUGGUUCCGCAUGGAAGGGCCAUCGCUCAACGGAUAAAAGCUACCCCGGGGAUAACAGGCUUAUCUCCCCCAAGAGUCCACAUCGACGGGGAGGUUUGGCACCUCGAUGUCGGCUCAUCGCAUCCUGGGGCUGUAGUCGGUCCCAAGGGUUGGGCUGUUCGCCCAUUAAAGCGGUACGCGAGCUGGGUUCAGAACGUCGUGAGACAGUUCGGUCCCUAUCCGUCGUGGGCGUAGGAAAUUUGAGAGGAGCUGUCCUUAGUACGAGAGGACCGGGAUGGACGCACCGCUGGUGUACCAGUUGUUCUGCCAAGGGCAUAGCUGGGUAGCUAUGUGCGGAAGGGAUAAGUGCUGAAAGCAUCUAAGCAUGAAGCCCCCCUCAAGAUGAGAUUUCCCAUAGCGUAAGCUAGUAAGAUCCCUGAAAGAUGAUCAGGUUGAUAGGUUCGAGGUGGAAGCAUGGUGACAUGUGGAGCUGACGAAUACUAAUAGAUCGAGGACUUAACCAU